rnacentral:lncRNA from 10 species
CCCCCAGGAGUUUCUCUUGAAGGAGACCAGCUGAUGCAUGUCCAUGGCUGCCACAUUAUGAAACAGAAAAGAAGCAAAGGGCAGAGAAUACAGUCUUUGCCUUCCAGAAGUUUAGUUGGGUAAACCAAUGGGUGUUACACAUGUGAGAAUACAAGCAUGCAUGUGACGGUGCCGGAUUACGAUAUGCAAAGAUUCCGAGGGAGUCCAAAACCAUCAAAAGGUCAACCUGGGAUGAGUUUAAUCAGCUGAGCAAAGUAGUAAACUUAGAUCAGUGCACAGAAGGUGGAACAAAUGGAAUGGGUACAGGCAGACAGGGGAGGAGCUGCAGUAAAGUUAAAGAAGAGAAUGAAGAGCAUGGCCUAGUUGUUUCUUAAAGAGCUGUCUACGAAGACAGAAAAGAAGCAAGGAGAGAGGGAGUUCACAAGGCAGAGAAUAAAUAUGAAGUGAAAAGAGGGUAGAAACAUGAAAGAGGCAAGAAGGUCUUCGUAAACUGCUCAUUUGUUUAUUUUGUUUAAAAAAGACAUCUGAGUAACUUCAGACUCAGACCAUGAUCUGCAUGGCAAGAAUCCAGGAAGCCUUAGUCUGUUGGAAUGAAAAACAUUUCAUCAGGAUCCAAUAAAUUAUUGCAUUUAUUAAAGAAUAAAAAAGGAGCAUGGUAUUUGGAGUUGGUAGACCCUUGCAGCCCUGCUUAUGGACUAAUAUUGGAAUUCCAGCUGCCAGUGGUAGGAAGGAUUCUUCCUGCCUGAGCUCACAGACACAAAUCCCAGAGGCUGUACAUGUCCCAGCAAAGAAGAUAUUGAAAAUGUGUGAAAAUGGCAAAUCUCUUCAGCAACACCUGAAAAGAUUUACCUACUCUUCAUAAUAAAAGACUUUCGGUUAACUUCUGAGGUUUUAAAACAACGAACUGUCAACCACCAGAAUGGCGAACUCUGAACCUCAAGCAAACUGAAGAGAAAGUUAGCACAUCUGCCUCCCUCUAACAGAGUUAAAAACACUUCCCUUGAAUUAAUAUAUUCAUUAUAUAUUUCCAAGGAGAGUCAAAUGACAGGUUCUACAAAGGUUGCCUUAACUGGAGUACUUUAAAAAGUUACUUAGCAACAAUAUAGCUAGCUCUACACAUGCACUCCAUAUAAAACUGAUGAUUUCAUCAGAUGGCUUCUACCCAGAAAUUCAGACAUUAGCAUCAGUUUGGGUCAACACUUUGCUUACCCCUGAAUAACCUGAGUCCUUAAACAAUUUAUAGUUCCUUACAUGGGGUCUUUGUUGGGGCCUUUCCUGAACAUAGAGGGCUAUUCCUUUUUCCUUCAAAUGUAUUCUAAUUCAAAUCCCUUCUUCACUGAAAUGGCAUGACACAAACCUCCAGGCAAUGGAGUUUUUUUUUUUUUUCCUUUCAAAACAACAGACAUUUGCUAAAUUUCAGAGAAGCACCUGUAUUAAUUGUAUUUCCUGCUCAUGUGUUGCUUUUGUUUACAAUAAAAGAAUUCAU